UACGGAGGGUGCAAGCGUUAUCCGGAUUCACUGGGUUUAAAGGGUGCGUAGGUGGGUAUGUAAGUCAGUGGUGAAAUCCCCGAGCUUAACUUGGGAACUGCCGUUGAUACUAUAUAUCUUGAAUAUCGCGUAGGUAAGCGGAAUAUGUCAUGUAGCGGUGAAAUGCUUAGAUAUGACAUAGAACACCAAAUUGCGAAGGCAGCUUACUUCACGAUUAUUGACACUGGGCGACGAAAGCGUGGGGAGCAAACAGG
rnacentral:rRNA from 1 species